rnacentral:rRNA from 1 species
UACGUAGGGUGCAAGCGUUGUCCGGAAUUAUUGGGCGUAAAGGGCUCGUAGGCGGCGUGUCGCGUCGGGAGUGAAAGACCGGGGCUUAACCCCGGUUCUGCUUCCGGUACGGGCAUGCUGGAGUGUGGCAGGGGAGACUGGAAGUUCCUGGUGUAGCGGUGGAAUGCGCAGAUAUCAGGAGGAACACCGGUGGCGAAGGCGGGUCUCUGGGCCAUUACUGACGUGAGGAGCGAAAAGCGUGGGGGAGCGAACAGG